rnacentral:rRNA from 1 species
AUACGUAGGGGGCGAGCGUUGUCCGGAAUGAUUGGGCGUAAAGGGCGCGUAGGCGGCCCGGUAAGUCUGGAGUGAAAGUCCUGUUUUUAAGAUGGGAAUUGCUUUGGAUACUGUCGGGCUUGGGGGCAGGAGAGGGACUUGGAAUUCCCAGUGUAGCGGUGAAAUGCGUAGAGAUUGGGAGGAACACCAGUGGCGAAGGCGACUUACUGGACUGUAACUGACGCUGAGGCGCGAAAGUGUGGGGAGCAAACAGGAUUAGAUACCCUGGUAGUCCACACUGUAAACGAUGAAUGCUAGGUGUAGGGGGUAUCGACCCCUUCUGUGCCGCAGUCAACACAAUAAGCAUUCCGCCUGGGGAGUACGGCCGCAAGGUUGAAACUCAAAGGAAUUGACGGGG